rnacentral:rRNA from 1 species
GAUGAACGCUGGCGGCGUGCCUAAUACAUGCAAGUCGAGCGAACAGACGAGGAGCUUGCUCCUCUGACGUUAGCGGCGGACGGGUGAGUAACACGUGGAUAACCUACCUAUAAGACUGGGAUAACUUCGGGAAACCGGAGCUAAUACCGGAUAAUAUAUUGAACCGCAUGGUUCAAUAGUGAAAGACGGUUUUGCUGUCACUUAUAGAUGGAUCCGCGCCGCAUUAGCUAGUUGGUAAGGUAACGGCUUACCAAGGCAACGAUGCGUAGCCGACCUGGGAGGGUGAUCGGCCACACUGGAACUAAGACACGGUCCAGACUCCUACGGGAGGCAGCAGUAGGGAAUCUUCCGCAAUGGGCGAAAGCCUGACGGAGCAACGCCGCGUGAGUGAUGAAGGUCUUCGGAUCGUAAAACUCUGUUAUUAGGGAAGAACAAAUGUGUAAGUAACUAUGCACGUCUUGACGGUACCUAAUCAGAAAGCCACGGCUAACUACGUG